AUAGCGUAAGGCUCGUGUGGUUGUUUGAAGAUAUUCCAAGACGCACGCGCAAAGGUCCACCUGCUCCUUGUCGGUUAUGUGGGUGGUGCUCUUGUCCUGGAAUCUCAGCCUUAUUUCAUUGUGACGAUUAUCGAUAUGAUUGCGUGCUACGAGCUUUCGCUCGAUCCUCAACUGUGGUGAAGGAUCAUGUAAUGCCCGUCCUUCCUUGGCCAUUCUAUACAGAAAAUCCCAAAAAGUUAUCAUCCUGAAUGGCCCCUCACAGGGAAUACAUCCUAGUCAGAGUUUUUUUACAGCUAUUAUACGGACGGAAGGAUGAUCUCCUUGGAAAAUAAUUAAAUUAGACAAAAUAGUUUUAGAUUUAAGAAACUUAUCAGACUUGCAACCCAAGAAAUAAUUAAAAAUAAAAUACAUUGCUCUGGGCAUAGAACACCAUA